rnacentral:rRNA from 1 species
GAUGAACGCUGGCGGCGUGCCUAAUACAUGCAAGUCGAACGCUGGAAAUCUAGCUUGCUAGAUUGAAGGAGUGGCGAACGGGUGAGUAAUACAUAAGCAACCUACCCACGAAGACUGGGAUAAUCUCUGGAAACGGGGACUAAUACCGGAUAGGUAAUCGGAAGGCAUCUUCUGAUUAUUAAAGGUUAAAAACACUGGUGGAUGGGCUUAUGGCGCAUUAGUUAGUUGGUGAGGUAACGGCCCACCAAGACGAUGAUGCGUAGCCGGCCUGAGAGGGUGAACGGCCACAUUGGGACUGAGACACGGCCCAGACUCCUACGGGAGGCAGCAGUAGGGAAUUUUCGGCAAUGGGGGAAACCCUGACCGAGCAACGCCGCGUGAGUGAUGACGGCCUUCGGGUUGUAAAGCUCUGUUGUAAGGGAAGAACGGUAGAUAGAGAAUAUCUAAAUGACGGUACCUUACCAGAAAGCCACGGCUAACUACGUG